rnacentral:rRNA from 1 species
UUAUGCAUUUCACACUGCACCCAGCAAUCCUCUCUGAUUUUGGAAAUAAGAGUCCAGUCUAGUUAGUACUUGGAUGGGAGACCACCUGGGAAUGCUGGAUACGGUAUUGG